GUUCGUUUUAGAAGCUAUUUUAAAUUCCCAGAAGUAUAACAACGUACGUUUAACAACAAAAGAAUGAUUUCUAGAGGGGGACUUUUUGGGGGAACACCCUGUAGUGCUCAGAUAUUCAAGUUAUAACAAGGUUAAAUCUAAAGGUGUCCUUUUUUGAGACACCCUGUAGUACAUUUAAAACGUGUUCGAGGAGUGGGGGGCGUAUCGUUCAUCGCCAAUACACCCUUUCGAUAAUUACGUCACACAUACUUUUUGGUCCUGGAGCCUCGCUCUCAUCAGUAAAUUACGCAAGGUGAUUGGCUCAUGAUUCAUGAGAGCGAGGCUCACACAUAGAUAUCUUAUAUACACUAGAUAGUCCAUCUAAUUAUUCUACAAUUCAAAAAUUGAAGCCGUGAUUGCAGACUCAGGAUAUUCCCAUGA